rnacentral:rRNA from 1 species
ACCCUGAUGUUGGGGUUACACUAGACCUGAUGAGUUGCGAACGGGUGAGUAACGCAUAGGUAACCUGCCUCAUAGCGGGGGAUAACUAUUGGAAACGAUAGCUAAUACCGCAUAAGAGUGAUUAACACAUGUUAGUUAUUUAAAAGGAGCAAUUGCUUCACUGUGAGAUGGACCUGCGUUGUAUUAGCUAGUUGGUGAGGUAAAGGCUCACCAAGGCGACGAUACAUAGCCGACCUGAGAGGGUGAUCGGCCACACUGGGACUGAGACACGGCCCAGACUCCUACGGGAGGCAGCAGUAGGGAAUCUUCGGCAAUGGACGGAAGUCUGACCGAGCAACGCCGCGUGAGUGAAGAAGGUUUUCGGAUCGUAAAGCUCUGUUGUUAGAGAAGAACGUUGGUAGGAGUGGAAAAUCUACCAAGUGACGGUAACUAACCAGAAAGGGACGGCUAACUACGUGCCAGCAGCCGCGGUAAUACGUAGGUCCCGAGCGUUGUCCGGAUUUAUUGGGCGUAAAGCGAGCGCAGGCGGUUCUUUAAGUCUGAAGUUAAAGGCAGUGGCUUAACCAUUGUACGCUUUGGAAACUGGAGGACUUGAGUGCAGAAGGGGAGAGUGGAAUUCCAUGUGUAGCGGUGAAAUGCGUAGAUAUAUGGAGGAACACCGGUGGCGAAAGCGGCUCUCUGGUCUGUAACUGACGCUGAGGCUCGAAAGCGUGGGGAGCAAACAGGAUUAGAUACCCUGGUAGUCCACGCCGUAAACGAUGAGUGCUAGGUGUUAGGCCCUUUCCGGGGCUUAGUGCCGCAGCUAACGCAUUAAGCACUCCGCCUGGGGAGUACGACCGC